rnacentral:lncRNA from 1 species
CCACUUACUGUGGCUGCGGACAAGUAGCUCUGCCUUUCUGACUCUCAGCAUCUACCUCGAAGAAAUGGGGACAAUAAUAGCAGCGACUUCACAGGGCUGCGGUGCGGAUUAGUGCAUGUGAAGGUUUUAACACGGCGCCUGGCAAGCGGUCAACAAAUACCAAGCUAUUAUCACAGACACUGCGUCCUCCGGCCCAACGCACCGGGGCACAGGGAGUGCUGCUGCAGGAGCCGAGCGGGCAGCCCCCCGCGGCCCCUCCCGGCGCGGCCCGGACCCCGCCACAGCGGCUCGCGCCCCACCCUCGUCGGUCGCUCGUCCCGCGGAGCUGCGGGGGCAGAGUCCCGGGGGGCGCGGGGUGAGUCUGUGGCAUCGUGGCGGAAGGCGGGGCCUAGCUGGGCAGGGGUCGGCGGAGGCUGGGGCUGCGCCCGGUUCCCGGAAAGGGAGGUGGGGAGCGGGGAAGGAGGGGGCCGGCGGUGUCGGGUGGCGAGGGGAGCUGCGCUCAGGCUCGCCGAAGCCCGAGGGUCCUGGAGGGUUGGGGCCAGGGCACCCGGGCCCUGCGGUUAGUAGGGGCCGAUGCAGUCCGGGAAGGGCCCUCCGCUCCCGCGCCCGCGCCCGGCCCAUGAUGGCGCCCCUCCCCCUCCCGCUCGCGCGCCCCCGCCGCUCGGGGCGCGGCCCCGCAGCCCGCGCGCUCCUGGGCGGGGGAUGUUGUGAUGGAGAAGCCGCCGCGGAGCCAGAGCCCCGCAGCCUGAGCCACCUCCGCCACCUGGGCCUGGGGCCUCGCCGCGCAGUGGCUACAAUUUUUUUCUACCCAGGAAGAACACACCGAGCAGAGCAGCCCAACAAUUACAUGUAAGGCAGACUCAUGGACAGAAAUUUUUUUCCUUUAUUUCAGAGAUCUGAGGAGCUAGAAACGACAG